UUAAUUGAAGCCAAGGAGGAGGCACCUUAAUGUUAAUGAGGAAAAUGAUUUUAUAAUCCAAUUAAA
rnacentral:tRNA from 1 species